rnacentral:rRNA from 1 species
UCGGAAUCGCUAGUAAUCGCAGAUCAGCAAAGCUGCGGUGAAUACGUUCCCGGGCCUUGUACACACCGCCCGUCACACCACGGGAGUCGGUCGCGCCUGAAGCCGGUGGCCUAUCAGUAAUGGGGGAGCCGUCUAUGGCGAGAUUGGUAACUGGGGUGAAGUCGUAACAAGGUAAC